AGCAGUAGCCGCGGUAAUACGGAGGGGGCUAGCGUUGUUCGGAAUUACUGGGCGUAAAGCGCACGUAGGCGGCUUGGUAAGUUAGAGGUGAAAGCCUGGAGCUCAACUCCAGAAUUGCCUUUAAGACUGCCGAGCUAGCAGGUGAGAGAGGUAAGUGGAAUUCCGAGUGUAGAGGUGAAAUUCGUAGAUAUUCGGAAGAACACCAGUGGCGAAGGCGGCUUACUGGCUCAUACUGGACGCUGAGGUGCGAAAGCGUGGGGAGCAAACAGGAUUAGAUACCCCUGUAGUCCCUGUCUCUUAUAC
rnacentral:rRNA from 1 species